GCUCAAUUAACUCAGUGGAUAGAGUGUCAGCUUCCUAAGCUGAGGGUCGCGGGUUCGAUCCCCGUAUUGAGUG
rfam:Ostreococcus lucimarinus CCE9901 chromosome 2, complete sequence.